rnacentral:rRNA from 1 species
CUAAUACCGGAUACUGAUCGCCUUGGGCAUCCUUGGUGAUCGAAAGCUCCGGCGGUGCAGGAUGAGCCCGCGGCCUAUCAGCUUGUUGGUGAGGUAAUGGCUCACCAAGGCGACGACGGGUAGCCGGCCUGAGAGGGCGACCGGCCACACUGGGACUGAGACACGGCCCAKACUCCUACGGGAGGCAGCAGUGGGGAAUAUUGCACAAUGGGCGAAAGCCUGAUGCAGCGACGCCGCGUGAGGGAUGACGGCCUUCGGGUUGUAAACCUCUUUCAGCAGGGAAGAAGCGAAAGUGACGGUACCUGCAGAAGAAGCGCCGGCUAACUACGUGCCAGCAGCCGCGGUAAUACGUAGGGCGCGAGCGUUGUCCGGAAUUAUUGGGCGUAAAGAGCUCGUAGGCGGCUUGUCGCGUCGGUUGUGAAAGCCCGGGGCUUAACCCCGGGUCUGCAGUCGAUACGGGCAGGCUAGAGUUCGGUAGGGG